rnacentral:rRNA from 1 species
GCGACGAUCCAUAGCCGGCCUGAGAGGGUGAACGGCCACAUUGGGACUGAGACACGGCCCAGACUCCUACGGGAGGCAGCAGUGGGGAAUAUUGCACAAUGGGGGGAACCCUGAUGCAGCGACGCCGCGUGGAGGAAGAAGGUCUUCGGAUUGUAAACUCCUGUUGUUGAGGAAGAUAAUGACGGUACUCAACAAGGAAGUGACGGCUAACUACGUGCCAGCAGCCGCGGUAAAACGUAGGUCACAAGCGUUGUCCGGAAUUACUGGGUGUAAAGGGAGCGCAGGCGGGAAGACAAGUUGGAAGUGAAAUCCAUGGGCUCAACCCAUGAACUGCUUUCAAAACUGUUUUUCUUGAGUAGUGCAGAGGUAGGCGGAAUUCCCGGUGUAGCGGUGGAAUGCGUAGAUAUCGGGAGGAACACCAGUGGCGAAGGCGGCCUACUGGGCACCAACUGACGCUGAGGCCCGAAAGUGUGGGUAGCAAACAGGAUUAGAUACCCUGGUAGUCCACACUGUAAACGAUGAUUACUAGGUGUUGGAGGAUUGACCCCUUCAGUGCCGCAGUUAACACAAUAAGUAAUCCACCUGGGGAGUACGACCGCAAGGUUGAAACUCAAAGGAAUUGACGGGGGCCCGCACAAGCAGUGGAGUAUGUGGUUUAAUUCGACGCAACGCGAAGAACCUUACCAAGUCUUGACAUCCCUUGACGAUGCUGGAAACAGUAUUUCUCUUCGGAGCGAGGAGACAGGUGGUGCAUGGUUGUCGUCAGCUCGUGUCGUGAGAUGUUGGGUUAAGUCCCGCAACGAGCGCAACCCUUAUGGUCAGUUACUACGCAAGAGGACUCUGGCCAGACUGCCGUUGACAAAACGGAGGAAGGUGGGGAUGACGUCAAAUCAUCAUGCCCUUUAUGACUCGGGCUACACACGUACUACAAUGGCGUUAAACAAAGAGAAGCAAGACCGCGAGGUGGAGCAAAACUCAGAAACAACGUCCCAGUUCGGACUGCAGGCUGCAACUCGCCUGCACGAAGUCGGAAUUGCUAGUAAUCGCAGAUCAGCAUGCUGCGGUGAAUACGUUCCCGGGCCUUGUACACACCGCCCGUCACACCAUGAGAGCCGGGGGGACCCGAAGUCGGUAGUCUAACCGCAAGGAGGACGCCGCCGAAGGUAAAACUGGUGAUUGGGGUGAAGUCGGAACAAGGUAGCCGUAGGAGAACCUGCGGCUG